GACGAGCCACACAAACGUUGUUCGGAAUUACUGGGCGUAAAGGGCGCGUAGGCGGUACUUCAAGUCAGGCGUGAAAGCCCCGGGCUCAACCUGGGAACCGCGCUUGAGACUGGAGAACUAGAGUUCGGGAGAGGAUGGUGGAAUUCCCAGUGUAGAGGUGAAAUUCGUAGAUAUUGGGAAGAACACCGAUGGCGAAGGCAGCCAUCUGGACCGACACUGACGCUGAGGCGCGAAAGCGUGGGGAGCAAACAGG
rnacentral:rRNA from 1 species